rfam:Triticum aestivum genome assembly, contig: Triticum_aestivum_CS42_TGACv1_scaffold_193895_3AL
UAUGUACUCCCUUCGUUCCAAAUUACUCGUCGCAGAAAUGGAUGUAUCUAAAACUAAAAUACAUUUAGAUACAUUCAUACCUGCGACAAGUAAUUCCGAACGGAGGAGUACGCU